ensembl:lncRNA
AUAUAAAUCUUACAAACAUUCAACCACUCGUCCUUGAGAUAUCGCGCCAGAUUAUCACCUAGUGGCGGAGGGAUAUAUAUGCGUAAGGAGAUUAAAUACAUGUAAGUAUACAGGGGGUCCCAAAAAUCACUAUACAUAUUGGACUAUGUAUUCCAGCACCACGCGGGCUGUAGCUUCGCCAGUGGAGGUUCGUGGACGUCCACUUCUUCUCGGUCGGUCCGGAACACUUCCAGUCUUUUUGAAUUUGUUAUUAAGUUUAGCGACAGUGUUGUGUGUGACGUGUUCGCCAAGUCUUGCUAUCGAGUUUCCCGUUAUACACGUGUAUCGCUGAGCCUGUUUGGUCUGUUGGUCUUCACGAUAUGGAUUCUUUAUUUCCCUUCUCUAUCGGUCCUGCUCUUAUACAGCCGUCUGCAGUUGAUUUCGAUCUCUGCUUGUCCUGAGGACGAUUCUGCUUCACGACUCUCGUGCUCGUUCUCGUUCCGGCUCGUUCGCAGGGACUCGUACGGCCGACGCGCCACAUAAAGAGAAUUUUAAAAAAUGUGUGUGAUGAUACGUGAUGCGGUGACGUUUUCUGUAAGGGGAAAUGUGUUUAUUCAACAUGUAUGGAAGGAGUCUCCAGCGUCAGUGCUUUGUAUCGUAACAGUCAGAGGUAAAGCUUUAACGUUAAGUUUUCAGACAUUUUCAGGACAGAGGAGAUUAGGCUUUUCUUUCGUUUCUAGAUAACAUGACAAGCGGUGGUUUUUUCGUUGCUGUUGUCGUCUUAUCAACUUGAAAAAACAUGAGAGAGGCCGUCGAGGGACCGACUGAUUAUAGCCGCUAUAACGUAAGUGAGAACAGGAACUCAUCUGUUUUGUGGUCGUAUCGUUCGUCAUCUUAAUUUUUUUUUUUUUUAAUUUGUUAAAAUAAUUACUUCAUUAUUCAUUUGUUCAUUCUUAUUUUGACAACAAUUUGUUGAAAUGAGUUUCCUUCUAAAGUAUACUAUGAAGGCCUGACAGUUAACGAUAAACAACAUUAAACUAGUCCUCGUUCUCAAAAAACCCUAACCCCUAAUGUCUAGUAACGUCUCUGACCACCUUUUUUUUUUUUUCCAUAAAAGUUUGCCUUACAUAGCAACAGUAACCAGGCGUAACCAGGAAAUGUAUGUUGUGUGCUACAAAUAUAGUAUCUGAUAUCAGAAUUUUAGGCUCCUUGCUAACUAAAGAUGGUAAUAAAGGCAGAUCCUAAGCGUGUACACGUAAAUAGGCUUUCUUCAGGGAAUAUUACAAAACACACACACACACACACACACACACACACACACACACACACUGCAGGCCUGUUUCCCUUGUUCUUUGUGUGAACUUGAGUAACCUUUCCAUUAGUUCACCAAGUGCACUGUGGGAACAUGAACUUUACACAGGACGGUGUUUGGGCAAAUAUAGCACAUUUAAUAGUGAAUGUAGACUUCACAUUCUGUCUGUCUGUCUGUCUGUCUGUCUGUCUGUCUGUCUGUCAUUAUGGUUUGUUACUAAAAUGCUGGUACGUUUACACGGAUGCUCACACAACAGAGCGGAACAAACACACAUCAGUAUAAUUAUGUGUAAGUAUUAUACAUACAAGUAAAUACAUUACACUAAAAUAUUACAGACAUUAACCUCUUCCCUGCAUCUCCACACAUCUCGUGUGAUCUUGUUUCAGAUUGGCUAGACACUAUAUAGUCAAUUCUAUAUGGACACCUGAUCAUCUCACCCAUACGUUGUUCUUCUCCAAACUGUUGCCACAACGUUUGAAGCACGCGGUUGUAUCGAUUGUCGUACGCUGUAGCAUUACGGUUUCCCUUCACUAAGAGAAACUAAGAGACCCAAACCUGUUCCAGCUCCAUGAAGACGUGGUGUGUGAAGGUUGGAAGAACUUGAAUGUCCUGCACAGAGCCCUGACCUCAACCCCACUGAACGCCUUUGGGAUGAACUGGAACUGGAGCCUCCUCACGUCAACAUCAGCGCCUGACGUCAACCUCACUAACGCUCUCGUAGCUGACAGCCACGCUUUUAACUCCACAGUUUAGGAUCAACUUUACAAGUGGGGUAAGAAAUCAUAUUACAGCCGGUUAUGUAAGGAUUUAAAACACUCCAUGUCGUGCUGUUAGAGGAAACUAAUCAAUGACACGGUUGUGUGAUGAAGCAGCGUUACUGUUACCAUCCCGACGGUUGAAUAUUGACCUAUAAAGCAACGUCCUGAAGGGUUUUAUUCCUCUUAUACCACAGCGACGUGCCAGCGAUUACACCCAUCCACCCAUUUUCUGUACAGUUUAUCCUACACGGGGUCACGGAAAGCCUGCAGCUUAUCUCAGGAGACUCUGGGUACAAGGCGGGGGACAUCCUGGACAGAGUGCCAACCCAUUGACACACCCAUUCACACACUACGGACAAUUUAGAGAUGCCUACGACGCAGCCUACGACUGGGGGAGGAAACCGGAGGAAACCCCCAAAGCAUGGGGAGAACAUGCAAACUUCAUGCACACCGGGAACAGGUGGGAAUCAAAACCCCAACCCUGACACGUUGUACUGUAUUUUUAACCAUUUAUAGCUACAUUUAAUCGUAGUCAUCUCAUGGAUUCUUUGUGGAGGUUAUAAUGGUCAGACACAUAAUGUUGUGCCAAGUCAUAUCUCUCUCUCUCUCUCUCUCUCUCUCUCUCACACACACACACACACACACACACACACACAAUCAAACUCUCUAGAGGGCAGUGUGCCAUACAGUGCACAACUCUCUCUCUCUUGGCCAGGCUGAAAUCUCCUGAUCAGCUUCUGCUCUUCCUGAUGACAUCAACAAGUCACACCGCGCAUUACCCACAAUGCCUCUAUUCAGCAGCCGCGCAGGAACCCGGCAGGUGCUUUAGAUAACGGUGUACAAGGUUCUCGUGCGCUCUUCUUCACUACGUGAUCUGGGGAUUUGUUUUUAAAAUAACGCAUACUAGAGUUGUUGUGUUGAAGUGAAGUCAAAAAAUAAAUAAAUAAACGAAACUCUAAUUAGCGACCCUGACCCGUUUUGAUCGAUUGAUUGUAGCGUUCGAACUCAUUAGCUCUUAAUUACGCAUGUACUUUUGUGUGAUAAGGAAGGCGUGAAUGAAAUGAUUCGUGAACAAGACAUUGGGAUUAUUUUCAUUUCAGUGUUUCUUAAACAAUUUAUAUUAAAGGGUCAGUUACAUUUCCAGGAACAACGUAUUGAAUAAAGAAUAAGAUUGAAUAAAUAAUACACUCGUAAUACGGUAUGCGACUGAAGAAAAACAUCUUUUUAGGAGUCACCGAUACAGGGUUGGGAAUUAAUGCACUGAUCUGCUGAUCUGGAGUCAGUGUGCUGAUUUCCUUUUUGUUACGGAAUAACGUAUAAUAUAAUAUCAUAUAAAUAUAGAUCUGAUCCUGAAUCAGUAUGAUGCCAUGAUCACUGGCAUGAGGAAAAUAAACAGCAGGUAAACAAAGGUGUAACAUACGAUAUACACACAGUCACACACGCACGCACACACACACAUACACACCUAUAGAAAUAGGUCUCUGCAGGUAGGUAAGUUAUAUAAAAUAAAGAUUUGCAUGUCAGUCAUAGAUAAUGUAUUUGCAUAAAUAUAUUCACGCUUGUUUUAUCUGCACUAGUAGUCACAGGUUUGGACACACUGUAUUGGAAAACCUUUUCAUAAAGCUUUAUGUAGAAAUUUGCUUCUAAGGCAAAAUGUAAACAGUGACGUUAAUGUAUUUUUAAUGUGUGUGUUUUUUUUUUGUAUGUAAAAUUACAUAGUUUCCCCAGACAAGUUUAUUUGGGACGUUUAAGAAAAGGUUCCUGGGUGAAGCUCCUCACAGAGCUGUCGGCGAAGAUGCCGAGGGUGUGCAAAGCUUGACCAGGACUACUGUUUAAUCAUUUCAAACAUAAAACAGCUUGAUGUGUUGAACUUUCCGUGAUAUUUCCAUAUUGUUAACGUCGUCGUCGUCGUUGUAAAAUAGUAGAAAUGAGUACAAAUGAAGACCCUCGAGGAGCAGGGGCGUACAAACUUUUAAAUUGUACCGUAUCUAUCAGUGGUGCAACUUUUGACUCCUUCAUAGACUCUUUGGAGAGGGGAAAAGAAAGACGCGAUCUCACGAUGUUCACUCAAAAGAGCCGAUUCAAAGAGUCGACUCGGUCCAAACGACUCGUCAGUAGCGUACACAGUUUCCUCAGGAUUUCCUCAGUUAGCAUGAGUGUGUUUACAGAGCCAAGAUAAAAAAUGUAUACCUGACUGAUGUUACACUAUACACACUACACUACUCUAAUAACAGGCAGAAGAACAGACGAUUCACGUCAAUGUCUUGUAUUUUUAGCAACAUGUUCUUCACCUGAAAAAUAAGUGUCAUGGAAGGAACCGUCUCUACGUCCAGGAGGACGAGAAAAGCAUGAGGCCUGAGAGAGGAGCUGCUGAAAGAACACAUCUAUCCACUCAGCACUGUGCUAAAUUGAAUAAAGAACAACACACACACACACACAGAGACACACAUAUACACACACACACACAGAUACACACAGACACACACAGACACGCACAGAUACACACACACACACACACACACACACACACACACACACACACACACACACACCUCUUGCUGACCUUCAUGCACAGACAGCCAAAGCCUGCAACCUGAUCACCACUGCUGGUAUUUACACGCUUCACUCCAAGUCUGGACCAGCGCAGGAAUCCAAAUCCGUCCUCUUACUGUCCCUGCGCACUUCCUGAAUCUGUAAUUACAGGCCAAAGUGUGUGUGAGGCGUGUGUACGGAGUUUGUGUAUGGAGAGUGUAAAGUGUGUGUAUGGUAUGUGUAUGGAGUGAGUAUGGAGUGUAUGUAUGGAGUGUGUGAGGUGUGUGUAUGGAGUGUGUGUAUGGAGUGUGUAUGGUGUGUGUGUGUAUGGAUUGUGUGUAUGGAGUGUGUAAUGGAUUGUGUGUAUGGUGUGUGUAUGGUGUGUGUAUGGAGUGUGUGAAGUAUGUGUAUGGAGUGUGUUAGGUGUGUGUAUGGUAUGUGUAUGGAGUGUGUAUGGAGUGUAUGUAUGGAGUGUGUGAGGUGUGUGUAUGGAGUGUGUAUGGAGUGUGUGUCUGGAGUGUGUGUAUGGAGUGUGUGUCUGGAGUGUGUGUAUGGAGUGUGUGAGGUGUGUGAAUGGUAUGUGUGAGGUGUGUGUGAGGUGUGUGAAUGGUAUGUGUGAGGUGUGUGUGAGGUGUGUGAAUGGUAUGUGUAUGGAACGUGUGAGGUGUGUUUGAGAUGUGUGUAUGGUAUGUGUAUGUAGUGUGUGUAUGGAGUGUGUG